GCAGAGGGGAGGAAAGGAAAAAGGAAGGAGGUUGCUGCUCGAUCUCCUGGGACUGCUACCCGCUUGCCCCCUCAAUCUGUCUGCCACGCCCACCAAGCCCCACGCAACCCAGCAGAAGUCGUUCCUAACAGCCACUGGACCCCUCCCCCCUCUGCGUCUCCACCCGCCGGACAGAAAAAAGCGAGGGCACAGAAGGCGGUGCCCUGCUUUGCAUUUUCAUAUGGUCAACACCAUGCCUCCCUGGGAAGCGGCUCCAGGAAGUUUCGGGGCUCCUGCUAUUGGCAGCGAGCAGGCUAUCGUCGCCGGCGCCCCGCCAUUGCUCUCUGCUCCCUGCAUAACCUUGAGAGCAGCAGCUGAAGGGCCGGGGGCAGAGAGCCCAAGCUGGGCUUUCAGGACUAUGAUGCUGCUUGCAAACCAUGGAUGUCUCUUCUGGGAACUGUGUCAACUCCUUAGCCUCCAGAUUGGUUUUUUUGCUGCUCAUCCAUCACUGAAGAUAUUCCAGGAGCCAUCAAACUUCUGUCAAGUUGCUCCCUCUCCUCCUCUUCCAUGUCCAUUUUUUCCUCCUCCCGUGCCACACCCUCUGCCAUUCUCUGCGCAUCUGAGGCUCUACCAGGUCUGCUUGGAGAGAUCACCAGUUUGGAAGAGUGGGAUGGAUUUGAGGAACUUUUUAAUAUUAAAGGAUGUAUCCUUCCAUCCAUAAACACUCUAUGAGCUGCAAUUUUGUAAGAGGCAAGGCGUAUUUGCAUUCUCAACAUCAUUGGAAUUGUUGGAUAGGCAAAUGUUAAAUGCAGUCUGUACUCUCUACAGCUGUUAGCCAAUCUAUCAGCUUUUAUAAGAUCAAUGUGUUGUAUCUCAGUUCUUAAAAGUUGACUCAGGGAAUAAAGAAUGUCACAUUUAUUUCCCCAUUGGCCCCUACUUAUGUGAUUGUAAGAGAUGUACAACACCAGCUCAUUUGUUUGGAGUUGAAGAGAAGGAUUUGAAUUUCUUUUUUUUGUGUCCCAUCUACUUCUUGUUGGCAAAAUAAUAAUGUCUGGUCCUUUAAAUUGUUUGGCUGAGAGAGAGGCUUGUAAACUUUGGGAGUUUCACUUGUAUGAGGAUAACUGCUUGUUUUUUCAUUGAAGACCUUGAUCAUGUUGCCAAAUAUAUCAAGCUUACUGAAGAUAUCAUUUCGUUUUUGAAAAAUAGCUAUUAGUGUCUUCCCUGUUCCCCAAUGACUUUUAUUAAAGAGUCUUUUUGUAAUUGCCAAUGCAUUUCAAGUUCCUUUACACCCAAUAAUAAAUGUGCUUUAUGGGAA